rnacentral:rRNA from 1 species
CACACAGCUCAGUAACACGUGGCUAACCUGCCCUUGGGACGGAAACACCCCCGGGAAACUGGGGCUAAUUUCCGAUAGGCGAAGAACUCUGGAAUGAGUUUUCACUUAAAGGGCGCUUAGAUCAUGCUUCUAGGCGUUGCCCAAGGAUGGGGCCGCGACCGAUCAGGUUGUUGGUGAGGUAAUGGCUCACCAAGCCUCUAACCGGUGCGGGCCGUGGGAGCGGGAGCCCGGAGAUGGGCGCUGAGACAAGGGCCCAGGCCCUACGAGGCGCAGCAGUCGCGAAAACUUUGCAAUAAGCGAAAGCUUGACAGGGCUAUCCCGAGUGCCAUCCGCUGAGGAAGGCUUUUACCCAGUCUAGAACGCUGGGGGAAUAAGGAGAGGGCAAGUCUGGUGUCAGCCGCCGCGGUAAUACCAGCUCUCCGAGUGGUGUGGAUGUUUAUUGGGCCUAAAGCAUCCGUAGCUGGCUAAGUUAGUCCCUUGUUAAGUCCACCGAAUUAAUCGUUGGAUUGCGGGGGAUACUGCUUGGCUAGGGGACGAGAGAGGCAGACGGUAUUUUCGGGGUAGGGGUGAAAUCCUAUAAUCCCGGGAAGACCACCAGUGGCGAAGGCUGUCUGCUAGAACGCGCCCGACGGUGAGGGAUGAAAGCUGGGGGAGCGAACC